rnacentral:rRNA from 1 species
UACAGAGGGGGCAAGCGUUGUUCGGAAUUACUGGGCGUAAAGGGCGCGUAGGCGGUCUUGCAAGUCCUGUGUGAAAUCCCUCGGCUCAACUGAGGAACUGCACAGGAAACUGCUUGGCUUGAGUUCGGGAGAGGGAAGCGGAAUUCCGGGUGUAGCGGUGAAAUGCGUAGAUAUCUGGAGGAAUACCGGUGGCGAAGGCGGCAUCCUGGACUAACACUGACGCUGAGGCGCGAAAGCUAGGGGAGCAAACGGG